GGCCUUUUGAUUAUAAUUUAAGGUCUGACCUGCCCAAUGAGAAUUUAAAUGGCCGCGGUAUUUUGACCGUGCAAAGGUAGCAUAAUCAUUAGUUUUUUAAUUGAAAGCUGGAAUGAAAGGUUGGAUGAAAAAAUAACUGUCUCUAUUUAAAUUUUUUAGAAAUUUAUUUUUAAGUCAAAAAGCUUAAAUAUUACUAGAAGACGAGAAGACCCUAUAGAGUUUUAUUAAUUUUUAUUAUAAGUUUUUUAGAAUUUACUUUUUUAUUAUAAAAAUUAAUUUGAUUGGGGUGAUUGAAAAAUUUAAUAAACUUUUUUUAUAUAAACACAUUUAUAUAUGAGUGAAUGAUCCUUAAAUAAAGAUUAUAAGAUACAAUUACCUUAGGGAUAACAGCGUAAUUUUUUUAAAGAGUUCAAAUCGAAAAAAAAGAUUGCGACCUCGAUGUUGGAUUAAAAUAAAAUUUUGGUGUAGAAGCUAAAAUAUUUAGGUCUGUUCGACCUUUAAAAUUUUACAUGAUCUGAGUUUAAACCGGUGUGAGCCAGGUUGGUUUCUAUCUCUAUUAAAUUUUAAUACUUUAGUACGAAAGGACCAAGUAUUUCAUUAAAAAUUUCGUUUAAGAAUAAAAUUGUUAUUUUGGCAGAAAAGUGCAAUAGAUUUAGAAUCUUUAUAUGUAAAUUAAUUUACAAAUAAUACUUGAUAAUAAAGGACUUAUUUUUAAUAUUAAUCUCUAGUUUAAUUUUAAGUAUCUCUGUUUUAGUUGGAGUGGCUUUUUUAACCUUAUUAGAACGUAAAGUUUU
rnacentral:rRNA from 1 species